UGGGGCGUGAGGGAGUAAGUGAAGGAGUGAGUGAGGAGAGGCGUAUCAGAAGUCAAGAGUGAAAUGCGAGAUAGAAAGCGUCCCUUGCGAUCACAUGGGAAGUGUCACAAGUAAGUCAUGUAGCCACGUCUUCAUGGCAGGGCACAGUGGACGCACCCUCACCCACUGUGCCUUAAAUGUCACGACUCGAGCUUCUCUUGGAGCCUACAUGACCACUGUUACUACCACCACCACCACCACUAGGGCCAUCCCCACCACCAAUCCUCGUAAAGAGUCUGGGCACACCUGGGCCGUGCGACCACCAAGAAACACAGGGAGAGAUUUACCGGGCAUCCCUUGAGGAGCAACCUGAAGG